CAAGAGUUUCACUGGAAAAACAUCACCAUAACAAAAUUUAUGAAAGAAAAAGAAAAGACGGUCUUAAGGUACCCAUGAGACGUCUUUACUCCUAAGAUUUAUAGAUACUGCUCAUCGGAAGGACAAUCGGGUGCAUUAGAGGGCUCUUCACCAUUCUCAUUCGUUACAGUAGCGUGGUCGGGUGAAGGCGGGGCCUGUCCUCCUUGGCCUCGUUGUUCUCCAGGAUGAAAUUAAUGGCGGAACUUGGUGACUCGGGGCUUGUCAGCCAAAAUUUCUUUGAACCCUAUCGAUCAAACACCUUUGGGAGGCUCCGCUCUUAGUUGUUCCCGUCGUCAUAAUAAUUGUCAAUAUACCCAACUCGGAACAAAUCCUGGCCCAGAUAAGAGCAGGUCCAAGAGCAUACUGUGACGCCAAUAUAUCCCCCUCAUGGAUUUUCGAUGGGUCUGGAGGAGGGUCUGCCUGCGGUAGUCCAAAACAAAUAACACACCAAGGUUCAAUUUGAAAACAACAGAAGAUUAUCCAAAUUUUAAGGAUUUCCCAUGGGUCUACAAAAAUAGCACAAUAAAAUGUAAUAGAAUAUAAGGACCUAGUAUGGGAUGUGACAAAGGCUAACCUCAAAGACAAAUCGAUAGUUGCCAACAUUAACGGGCCCAACGAGAACGCUUUCUAGAAGUUGGUCAUAGGUCUCAUCCUCAGCAGAUCCCACGUAUAUGAGCUUCCAUUCCAAAUCUGUGAGAACACAUGAAAGGGUUAAGACAUAGCGAUGAUAUCAAAGGAUAACCAAUACCAAAUUCAACAGCUGAUGGCAACAUAAUCAUCACCAACCACCAAAUCCGUCCCAACCAUAACCAUUCCUUUUUGCAAAACACAUUUAGAAAUUAGAGAGAGUAGAAACCCACAAAGAGAAAUCUGGAAGAAACUUUGGUAUGAGCACAUACCCACUAGAAAAUCUCAUCAACAUACCAAACAAAAAAAAUCCACAUAAUUGAAACAUUCUAAGACAGGGACUGCAAAAAUACAGACCAUAACGUUCAUGGUUCGUUCUUUGAACACCCUGAUAUUUAACAAUUGUGCUAUAAUGAUAAAUGAUGCCUGUGCAAACAAUUCAUUAAAAUUGAAAUAUAAAUCAUAGAUGAACACUCAACCUAAUUCCAUUAAAGAUGAGAUUCUGGCAAGCCUAAUAUGACAUCUGCCAUCAAGUUAUAGAGGAGUGUGAGAGAGAAAGAGAGGUCCUUAAAAGACAGCAACCUAGAGUGGAAUUCAAGGUGUUGUAACAUUAGAGGUCCUUAAAAGGCAGCAACAUUUGUGGUGUAAGGUCCAGAAGUUUGUAAUUGUUGCAACCUCUACAGAUUAAAAAGGUUCCUUGUUCAAACCAGAAGAUGUUUAGAUUCUUAUAGGAAAACCUAAGCCAGAUAGGGAGUUGGGGAGGAAGCACGGGGGUACCUGUGGAAAAAAAUUGCAAGUAACACAGGUCUCCUCACUUUCUACAACAAAAUAUUGAUAUAAAUCAUGCCUAAGACUCUCCUAGAGUCCCUUUCCCAACUAUUAUUGAGAUGCUCUGCCAUACAAUUGUUGAUUCCAUGAUUACUUCUAGAUUCUGACCCAGAAAGCUGUUUCAAGCUCCUCGUAAUACUUGUGAACAGUUCUUUUUUUUUAAAAAAAAACAGACAGUUUAGCUUCAGCUGGUACAAAGAAUUAGUACACCUUGAUAUGCACACUAGCCAACUUUACCUGAUUCACUACCCGACUAUUUAGCUUCAUCUGCAAUCCCAUGCUAUGCAUGACUUUUCAUCAUUCGAAGAAUGAAUAAAAACAUGUAACAAUAAUUGUCCAAUAACUGAAGUUAGUCAUACGAUUGCCACCAAUCAGACUGAAGGCAACACAGACAGACAUCAUUUAGGAUUUCCUCUUUUUUUCUCUGGAUAACUUUGCAGUAACUCAUUAACAGUUGUACUUUAAAAGCUCUUAAAUCAAUAGAACCUUGUAUAACACACACACGCACGGCGCGCACACACACACACUGUGUGUAACCUAUAACACAGGUAUAACAAGGUAUACCAAAAGGACCGAUUUGCCACCUGGCAUAUAUGUCAGUAAAAAAGCAGAGGAUGGAAAAAAGACCAACUUGACAGCAACACAGAAAAGUAAAGAGAUUUUUUUAUCAAGAGACGGGAAUGAUUUGUUCUGCAGGUUCAGCAACGUGGUCUACCAUGCAACUUCUAUACUUUCCCGAAUAUCAAGAAGCAACUAGACAAAAUAAUUUGAUCACAGCACAUUCUUCAUGAGAAUUAGAAUAGUUAGUGAUGCUGAAGUAAAUUUUUUAAUCAGUGUUCGAAGGCGAACAAACUAUAGGGAGAUAUUACUGAUCUAAUUAUAUUAAAUGAAUCCAGUGUUUAAGUUUCAACUUCAGGCAAAAAAUUGGUCCACAAAAGAUAGACUUGUUUCAUGAGAAACUGCAAUGGAAAGUUCUUUUGAACUGUCAAGGUUUAAGAAAUCCUCAAAUAUUUCCUCAACAUUAAAGUGAAUGAAUAAAAUAUCUUACAAGACUCUAUAGUGCUUUCCAACAUUCAAGUUAUAAAUUUAUUUUCUUGUUUUUAUUUAACAAGUUAUAAAAUUAUACAAUUACCAAAAAAAAAAGAAAGUUAUACGAUAUAAUCGACAAACGCAGCAACCUUCCCCAGAUUCUCCAAAUCUGUUUAUCAAUUUCAGGAGAAUCUAUCUAUUUUAGGUGCUGGCUUAUUUUUUUCCAUCAGAGAGGGAUGUCCACCCGAUCUUUCUUCUUCCACCUAACAUCUUACAACACAACUAUUACAAAAAAUGGCAGGGAAUUCACAUUUGCCUCUACCUUUUUGGCAACUCUAACUUAGCUGAGUUUCCCUGGAUAUCGAUCGAUCCAGGUGAAGAUCAGACUAAAAUGUCUAACACAUCUCAUACCAUACCCGAGUGUCCAGUGUCUAACACAAGUGCUUUAUACAUUUAGAAGAGUUCACAUAACAUAGAUCUACAUAGAUCUCAACUAAAACAAGUCUAAUUCCUACUUCAAAUCUGAGUUGACUUGACUUGAAUAAGUAAAAAUCUAAGGCCAGAAGCUCCAAUUGUCCGCAAAGUAAACAUUAACCAAUCUGUCAUAUUAAUUAAAGAAUAGCUUUCUAAUUACCUUUUGAGAAGCCACUACCCAAUAAUUAAGAUAGUUUUUUUUUAUACAAACUUUAUCUGAUUGAUUGAUUCUGUGUGAACUCUUCAGCAAACCAUGUUAACCAUCUAAAAAUCUAACCACCACCUAAAACUUUCGUUGUUCGAGCCCUUUAUUAGAUCACUAGCUGUUAGGAAAUGGGCUCAACAAUGCAUGUCAAGCUAUCCAAUACCCUCCCUCACAUGCAACCGUGUGCACAGAGAUACAAAAUCUUUGCAUAGAGCAAACCAGAAUGCAAACAAUGCAAACGGGAACAAAUGCAAAUGAGAUACUUGAACCCAAGAUGUGCAGAGUAACCAAAGCUCUAAUAGAAUGUUAGAUUACCAAUCGUCCCCAAAAGCUUAAGUUGCUAGAAAAUAGGUCCAACAAUGCAUAUCAAGCUAUCCAACACCCUUUGGGAUGGGCAGCUACAUAAUUCCACAAAUAAUACCAACUGUUAUCACUCUCAAAGAUUCACACAAAUAUCAUAAAGUUUGAGCACUGAAGUUUCAUCUUGCAACCCACACAGCUUUGGUUCUCGUUUCUUCCUCUCAAUCAAUCACAGUUCAUGAAACAAUCCAACUUGCAAUCAUUCAGACCAUACAAAUAAAUAAAUAAAUAAAAGCAAUGCCCCGUUUUGUAAGCCCUAGUUUAGCCCCAAAUCACAAAGACUUGAAAUCAAACUAACGAUUAAACACAUCUGAAUCAAAAUAUAUAUGCACAAAGGGAUUGAUGAAAAAAAUUAUACCGUCUUUGAGGGGGAUUAAGCACUCGUACGAGAUUUCGAACUGAAAAGGGUUGACGAACGGAGCAGGGUUGUCCAAUACGGUGACGUUUGUGAUGUUGACUGCACUCAUCUUCUCCGAUACGACUCAAUCGAAACCCUAGAUUCCAGAACCUUCAUCAAAUUCGAAGCGAGAAGCCCGGAAUUGGAGGCAAACACAAAUUUAGGAGAGGAGAUUUAUACACACGCCUGCGUGUGUAUAUAUGUGUGCUAUGUGGUUGCGCGGCGACUGCGAAGAACUGAAUGUGUUGCCGCUUUGGUGAAUUGGUGCUCACAGUAAACUGGAUUUUGAAUUAAUUCUGAUUUUAGUAAUUUUUUAUAUUUUUUAAAAUUCUAAUUAUGAUGAAGUGAUAAAGAUAAUAAACUAAAAGAUGAAAAUAAAUUGUGAAAGAAAUUGAUUUUUGCAUUCCCAAAAUUAAUUUCUGCACUCUAAAUUUUAUAAAAGUAGGAGUGCAGAAAUCAAUUUAAGAGUGCAGAAAUCAAUUUCCAUUGUGAAAUACCAAAACAUGCCAUUACGUCAAAACUUUAUUCGGUUAAAUUAGACAAAAAAUCUUAUUACUUUUUAUACAUAUUUUUUAUUUCUCACUAUACCUCGACUAAUUCAACCCCACUGCCGAGUUUGGUUACCAACUCCGGUGGCAACUCUAGUAGUCGCUGGCGACAGUUCUAUUUAGUUGUCUAUACUUUUUUUUUUUGGAGAAGUAAAAUUUCCUGUUGAAAUACAACAAAGAGUGAAAUUUGUCUGCUGUGAGCAGUUUUUCCUUCCUUUGGGCAAUAAAAAUUAUCUAAUCGCCAUUCCCUUUUCAAAAAUAGGACAAAGUGAUAAGAAAUAAACAAAAAACAAUUAUCGAUUCUAACAUAUAGAUAAAUAGAGAGCUAAAUAAAUAAAUUUAUCUAGAAAAAGUUAUAUAAAUAAUCACAAGGUUUGACCAUUUAAAUAAAUUAGAAUAUAUAGUUUUAAUUCAGUAACAAUUUAAAAUAUACGUUAGUCUCCGUCCACCUAGGAGUAAUGGAAUUAAUUAUUUUUUGUCCAAAAUACACUGAAACCACGUCGGAUAACGGUUCUCCCCUUUUAAUAUAAAAUUGCAAUACAAAUUAGUUUUUUUUAAUAUAAAUACAACACACAAACUCUCUAGUUUGCAUUUUAGAUUUUAAAAUGGGGUGGUCAAAAACGAAGUUAUUUAUGUGCGUUUUGCGUGAGAACUAAUUGGUUCCGCUUGCCCUAGGUAGAUGAAGAGUAAUAGAUGGUUAAAAUUGUUACCAAAUUAAAACAAUAGAAUUUGAUUCAUUAUAAUUAAAGUUUUAGGGAUUAACUUGUUCUCAUAUUCAAAUACUGGAGUAUUUUUUAUAAUUUUUUCAUUUAUUUAUUAUGGGUGAGAAAAUGCACAAUUAAGUUUAUUCAUUUACAAAAAGACAAAGAUAAAGACAACCAACAAAUAAAUUUAUAGAAAUGGAGAAGACAAACAAACAAAUUAUUUUGUUUUGAAAGAGAAUAAGCAAACGUAUAAUUUUGUUUAGGGAAAAUUAAAAAAUUAAUCCUAGAGUUUUGUAUUAGUUACAAAUUAAAUCAUAUACUUUUAAGUUUUUUAAACUAACCCCUAAUUUUUCAACAUGAUAACAAUUGAGAUCCUUCAUCCAUAUCGAUCAACUAAGAGCAGCGCCAAACUAAGUCUCGAGACUCACAAUAAUAUAUUUUUAUUCAAAAAUGUGUUUAGAGAAUACACUUUCUACUAACUCCAAUCAUACACUUUUAUUUUUAUCUUCAUUUUUCUAACAACGCACUUAUUUCAUUUCAAAACUCAAUCAUUCCUCCACUUUUCUUUCAAAAUUCCUCACUUUUAUUUUAAAUUUAAUUAUAUAACUAAUUUUCUACUAAAUUUAAAUUAUCUUAAUUUUGUAAUUAUUAAUAAAUAUAUUAUAUAUUGAUCUUGUUUGAAAGAUAUCGUUGAUAUCUUUUUAAUGGUGUAAGUUAUAUAAUAAUUUGAUUUAUAUGCUAAAAUUUAUAUAUAUUUUAUAAAAAUAUAUCAUAAGUACAAAGAAUAUGAUGGGUAGUUGAAUUUUGUGUUAAAAAGAAAAAAAAAGGAUAAAGUUGGCAUUUUUCAAAAUUUCGAUUUUUGAGGGUGGGCCUCCAUUUGUGAAUGGAGUCUCCAAAUGUAGACCAAAUUUGAAGUUUCCAUUUUGGAGAUCGAAUUUAGAGGUAGGGUGGAGUAGUUCCUAACUUUAAGUUGCUUACCCCUACCCCUAACCCAAUCAGCCACCAUGAGGCGCCGCUCUGAUUACCCCUCAUUCCACCUUUAGCUCCCUCCUUUGCCCUCCCACUAACGACCAGCACGCAAUAAAAGAUUAAAAUAAUUGGCCAAGAACAAAUGUCUUGUGCCGAAUAUAGGAAAGAAAAUUUAUGCAGAGUCAAAGUACUCUUUCUCACUAUUGUAUUUUUAAAAGAAAUAAAAAAAUUAAAUUGUAUACUAGGAAUAAUUAAUAUUAUUUCCUACAAUAAUUUAAUUAAUAAAGAAAAAAUAUAUAUACUUAGAAAUUCCACUUAAAAUCAUUUUCAUUGUACUAUUUUUAAAAAUUGCUUAUUAUUGUCAUCGAAAUAAUAUGGAGGAACGUAACUAGAAAUUUAACAGACAUAUAUACUAACCAUAUCAACUUGAAUGUUAAUACAUGUUUUUGUAAUUUUUAAGUUAGUUGAAAUCCAUUAUAUUCAAUUUUUUAGAAAAAAAAAUCUUAUUAGUAUAUUUGUCUGUUAAAUUUCUAGUUAGUAUGAAUUAAAUUUGGUAUGAAUUAAGAUAAGCCUGUCGGAUCUCAUCAUGUUGAGAUGCCGAAUAAUCCUCUAGUGGGGGUCUUAAUUGCGAAUCCCUUAUCAAAUAAGAACCAUCCAAAUCUUUUGAUUCAACUCUAUAAAUUUUAUGAGGACAAUUUUAAGGUUCUAAGUGUUGAAGUUUCAGAGCAAUUAACGUUGAAGAUUUGUGUUUGUAUUAUCUUUAACAUUCUGAGAAUCUCUUUUUUAAAGAAUGAGUCAAUUAUUUUUUUGACCGUGAUUACCAACCGUAUCAAUUAAAAAAAAUUAUCAAUACAAUUGCCUUCAAAAUCAAAGCAAAUCACAACUAAUAGUUUAUACUUUAUAAUAUCACCCCAUCAAUCAUUAUCUAUAUAAAAUAUAUGCAUUAUGCAUUCAAAUCACUAUACAAUUGAAUAAUUAAAUCAAUCCCAAAUAGAAACCCUAAAUAGUAGGAGAGAGAGAGUAAUAGCGCUUAUUAGAGUCCGAUAUAUUUAGUUAGAUGUUGGCAAUAGGUGUUGAACACAGUUCCUAGAUUUCAUAGAAGUGGAACAACAAUUUUGUAAAUAACAGUUCUAACCUUUAAGUUAUGUGAUCUAUCAUAUAUUAACUUAAACAAGUUAUAUUUUAUAAACUAAACCCUAAAUUAUUACUGUUUACUAUUUAUUGUAGGGUUAUUUUUUUUUUAAAAAAUAAUAACCGUGGCAAAUUUAUACAAUUUGAUAAUAAAUCAUAAAUGUAUUAGUAUAAUAAUAAUUUUUUUUU
rnacentral:lncRNA from 1 species